UACGUAGGCGGAAAAUUAAGUCAGUAGUGAAAUCCUGCAGCUUAACUGUAGAACUGUUAUUGAUACUGGUUUUCUUGAAUAUAGUUGAGGUAGGCGGAAUGUGUAAUGUAACGGUGAAAUGCUUAGAUAUUACACAGAACACCGAUUGCGAAGGCAGCUUACUAAGCUAUGAUUGACGCCGAGGUACGAAAGCGUGGGGAGCGAACAGGAUUAGAUACCCUGGUAGUCC
rnacentral:rRNA from 1 species